rnacentral:rRNA from 1 species
CACGUAGUUAGCCGGGGCUUCUUAGUCAGGUACCGUCAUUUUCUUCCCUGCUGAUAGAGCUUUACAUACCGAAAUACUUCAUCGCUCACGCGGCGUCGCUGCAUCAGGGUUCCCCCCAUUGUGCAAUAUUCCCCACUGCUGCCUCCCGUAGGAGUCUGGGCCGUGUCUCAGUCCCAAUGUGGCCGUUCACCCUCUCAGGCCGGCUACUGAUCGUCGCCUUGGUGGGCCGUUACCCCGCCAACUAACUAAUCAGACGCGGGUCCAUCUCAUACCACCGGAGUUUUUCACACCGGACCAUGCGGUCCUGUGCGCUUAUGCGGUAUUAGCAGUCAUUUCUAACUGUUAUCCCCCUGUAUGAGGCAGGUUACCCACGCGUUACUCACCCGUCCGCCGCUCAGUCAAAUCACUUCUCCUCCCGAAAGAAUCAAAGCAAAGUGCUUCGCUCGACUUGCAUGUGUUAGGCACGCCGCCAGCGUUCAUCCUGAGCCAGGAUCAAACU